GCCCCCGUAGCUCAGGCGGACAGAGCAGCGGUUUCCUAAACCGCGUGCGCAGGUUCGAGUCCUGCCGGGGGUACCA
rnacentral:tRNA from 1 species